UUUACACCAUAAUGAACCGAGCAGACCCAGCACCAAAGUGACUAGCACCAAGGCAGCCACGCCUUCUCCUGUGCCGAAGGAAGACACACUUCCGAGGUGCCAGACACCUACCGAAGCUCCCAGCUGCCAAACCUAAUCUCCAGGACACGUGUCGCCACCACAACGGCUUGCACAAAGUCCCACAUUGGAACUUUGUGCAAAACUCCUACUUUCACCUCCCUAUAAAUAGGGAACAGUACCCAGGUACAAAGGACAACUAUUCUCCCACUUUUACUGUUGCUCUGCCAGAAUUACUACUUGUAACUGACUUAGGCAUCGGAGAGCCUUCGGCCGGCACCACACCGGUGUCCGAAGCUUAACGAUUGCUUCUCCCACUUUGUCUUCUGCAGGUUUCCCAUCAACCUAUAUUUCACCAAGGGCCUCAGCCCUCUUCCCUGCUGAAGACCCAGCACAUCUAAUCACUAAGUUGGACUCAAUAUUGGCCGGGCCAUUUUGAGCAUCAACAAUGUUGGUUUGAAGGGUGCCUCCCCUCCUAGCGGUCUGCGCGCACCAAUACCCCCAGGUUCUUUGAAUGCUCUUGCUUGAAAUUCGUUCCCCCCCAUGUGUUGGAGCCUCCCAACAACCUUGCAUACGUGGAUAUCUUGUAACCCUUGUUCUCCA
rnacentral:lncRNA from 1 species